CUUAAUUCCUAAUUUUUCAUUUUGAAUUGUUUCCUUCUUAUAGCUGGUUUUGAAAUAAUUUAUUAUAACAUUGAUAAAAGGAGAAGCGAGGUGCCCCUCAAAAAUUUGAUUCCUUUAAAUUGCAUUUUUAAACCCACUAUUUUAAAAUAGAAGCUGUUAGGGCAAAUACAAAAGCAUGAUUUUUUUUUUUUUUAGAAGAAGCAGCAUUAAAAUAUUGCAGCUAGCACGUAAAAGAAAUGAACAAAUAAUUUAUAUAGGAGAAAAUAAACUAGAUGACAAAUACAUGAAGAAAAAAAGCCAUCCCUGUUAGUUUGUAAAGAAAUAAAAAUUAAACAAUAAGGACUUAUCUUAUAUAUACCUCUUUUAUUAGUGUAGAUUGUACAGUAUAAAUAAUAUAUAAUAGUAUAUAAACAUAUAUUUAUACAUAUACUACUAGACAUUAUUAGAUAAAUUAUACAAUAAUAUGGAAAAUAUUUAUGAAUGACUUAAUAAGGCAGAAUACUUAAAUGGAUCUGACUAAACUUUAAAAUGAUAUAGGUACUAAUUAAGUUGAGGCAUGGAAAAAUGAGCACACCUGGUUCAUAAAAGUGAUGGAUUCUUCUUUUAUAUUUCCAUUAUUUGACCAAUAGCUACAUGGCAACAUGGAAAUUCCUUACUCUUUUCAGAAAAGCAAAGUGAGCCUGUACACUCUGAGAUUUAGGAAAUUCUAGGGAUUCUAUGCAAAGUGGAACAUCUGAAGUGAAUACAGAAGCUAAAAGCAAUAUAAUCACCCUGAAGGCUUUUCACUAAGAGAAUUUGGAAAGUUUAGAAAAGAAAGGUUGGGUGCGGUGGCUCACGCCUGUAAUCCCAGCACUUUGGGGGUCCGAGGUGGGCGGAUCACAAGGUGGAAAGAUCAAGACCAUCCUGGCCAACAUGGUGAAACCCCGUCUCUACUAAAAAUACAAAAAUUAGCUGGGCGUGGUGCACGCCUGUAGUCCCAGCUACUCAGGAGGCUGAGGCAGGAGAAUCACUUGAACCCAGGAGGUGGAGGUUGCAGUGAGCCGAGAUCGCGCCACUACACUCUAGCCUGGGCAACAGAGUGGGACUCCGUCUCAAAACAAAAAACAAAAAACAGAGCAAAAAAAAAAAAACAAAAAAAAAAAAAAAAGAAAAGAAAAGAUAACUAUUUUCCCAGGAUGCAGGGGUAAAACCAAGAUUCUCUGUUUUUUACUUUUUAGUGAAUGCUUAUUCUCGGUGUGCAAGGAAAAGUAUGAAAUUUUCACAUCUGUAUAUUUCAAAUCUGCUUAGGCAAAUCAACUUCAACUUGUACUUAAAAAAAUUGUCCAGGACCCCCUAUUGAAAACAAUAUGAAAAGUUUGCCUUUAUAUUUCCCUUUGAGAUCUGUUGUUUAAUCUUUGAAAUGUAUUCUUUAAAAAGUAUGUGCUAGUGUUACUAAAUACAUGACAAAAAGAGAUCUGAAUUUGUGGCCAAAUUAAAAAUAGGACAGAGGAGCUCAAGAUUCAGUCAUUAUAUUUACUUGACAUAUAUUUAUUUACUUGACCUUAGCAGCUUAUUUAUCUUCUUUGCGGAUCAGUUUCUUCAUCUGUGAAAUGAGUUCAAAUCAUCAAGUUCAUAUGAUGAUUAAGCAAAUAAAAUGAAGUAAAUUAUGUUAAACACUGAGCACAAUAUAUGACUGAGAGAAUACCCAAUAACUUGUUAUCUAAA
rnacentral:lncRNA from 1 species